GACGAACGCUUGCGGCGUGCCUAAGAAAUGCAAGUCGAGCGGGGGUAGCAAUACCCUAGCGGCGAACGGUCGCGUAACACGUAAGCAACCUGCCUCAAAGACCGGGACAACAUACCGAAAGGUGUGCUAAUACCGGAUGUGGCCGUCUGGGGACAUCCCUGGGCGAUUAAAUCAGGAAACUGGCUUUGAGAGGGGCUUGCGUCCUAUCAGCUAGUUGGUGGGGUAACGGCCUACCAAGGCGACGACGGGUAGCUGGUCUGAGAGGACGAUCAGCCGG
rnacentral:rRNA from 1 species